rnacentral:lncRNA from 1 species
AUUUUUUUUUUUUUUUUUUUUUAGUGAAGGAUUUUAAGCUUCAGCGAGGCCUGCUUAAACUCCUAUUCCAUGACCUUGUCUUUCUUUUCAAGGUUUCCAAGUUUCUUUUGUGUUUCUUGCUUGAUUUGACAUGUCUAGUCCUAUUUGGAAGUUGUCUUGGCCAGCUGAAGUCUUUCGGUGAGUGGGAGGGAUCCAGUUAUCUGCUCUUCCCUUCCCCGAAUCCUAGGGCCCACACAAGGCUGCUGGUCACUAAUGUAAAGGGAGUCUGGUCAGCAUGAAUAUGUGUUUUUCUCUUGCAGUGCAUGUUCAGCCUUGAGGGUGCAGGUACACAGUAGAUGGAGAGCUUUGGGUUGCCCCAUACACAAGGGUCUGGGCCCCUCUUCUGGCUUCCGGCUGGGCUCCCACCAGAGCUGCAUAUGUUUGGCUCAGCGGCAGCAGCAGCAGAUGGCAAAAAGUGGGUGGGCUGGGGGGUAUCUGCAACUGAUCCCACAGCCGCCGGAUUAAUGAGGCCUCAUGCCCGCCUUCUUUUCUGCAGCAUGCCAGCCAACAGUAGCUUCCUUUGCUGGGGUGGGUUUGUUUGUGGGAAAUUUUUUGGCAGUGAAAGCCCAGCACCUGAUUGAAAACUUCCUCUCCCCCUCAUUUCUCCUUCUCUCCUGGCUUCUAUACUGGUUCUAAAGUACUCUGGGGCCUCAAGCUUGUCCCUGGGGUUCCUCCUGGUGUCAGGCUGAUGAAACUGAGACCAGGUAGUCCUGCUAUUACAUUUACUGUUGGGGAAACUGAGACUUGGAGAAUUUAAUUAUUCAUUCAGUAGCAGGAAGCUCAGGACUCUAUGUACAUUUCAUGCCCUCUCGUGUCUAGCUACAUCCCUGGGUUGGCAUAGACCCCAUGAGUAAGAAUGUGAAUGGUUCAUAUUGGAGGAUGAGGCAUAUAUAAGCCUAUUUGAUGGGCAUUGAGGUCAUGGGGACAGGGGCAUUGCAUGGGAA